rnacentral:rRNA from 1 species
AUUUAAUUUAGAAAAUGGUUUUUAUUUGUGCAAAGGUUUAGAUAAAUAGUAUAGAGAUAGAUUUUUUUUUGUUACUAUAGAUAAUAGUACUGUAAGGGAAUUUUGAAAAUUAUUUUAAAUUUGUGAAAGCAUUAGAGAGUACCUUUUGUAUAAGGGUCUAUUAAAAAUUUUAAAAAAUUUUUUUUUCCCGAAAUUUAACGAGCUAUUUUUAUUAAAUUUUAUAUGUUUUAAAAUAUAAAUUAAAUUAAAAGUAGAGAUGAAAUGUUAUUCGAGUUAAAUGAUAUCUGGUUGAAAAAUAUAAACUAAAUGUUUAUUUUAAAGUAUAUUUAAUUAAGUUGCUUUAAUUUUUAGUACUUAUGGGAUAAGCUAUGGGUAGUUUUAUAUUGAUAAAAUAUAAGUUAAAGAGGUUUAAAAUUUUCUGAAGUUUGUUAUAAAGCAUUUAUUUUUUUUUCUUAAUUAAAAAGUAGGAUUUUUUAAAGAAUUAAAUUUAAAAGGGUUUAUGGUGGAAUUAGUAUAAUUUUUUAUAUUUGUUUGAUUUUAAUUUUUUUUUUGAUAGUUUUUUUUUCUUUAGGAAUUCGGCAAAGUUAAUCUUUGACUGUUUAUCAAAAACAUUGUAUUUUGUAAUGAUAAAAUAUAUGUUCUGCUCAAUGUAAUUAAUAAAUUGCUGUAGUAUUUUGACUAUACAAAGGUAUUGUAAUAAGGUCUUAAAUGGGUGCUAAGAGAAUGAUCUUACAAGGAUUUUCUUUCUUAAGAAAAAUAUUAGAAGUUGGUUUUUAAGUGAAAAAACUUAAAUUUUAUUUUGGGACAAGAAGACCCUAUGAAUUUUUAUUAAAUAAAAGUUUUGUAAAAAAUUUUUUUUAAUUUAAUUGGGGUGAUUUUUAAAGAUUAGGAAUCUUUAAAUUUAAAAAUUGAUCCAUUUUUAGUGAUUCUAUGAAAAAAAUACUCUAGGGAUAACAGNNNNNNNNNNNNNNNNNNNNNNNNNNNNNNNNNNNCAUUGCGACCUCGAUGUUGGAUUAGGAUACUUUUAUAAUGAAGAAGUUAUAAGAAGAAGUUUGCUCAACUUUUAAUAUCCUACAUGAUCUGAGUUCAAACCGGUGUAAGCCAGGUUGGUUUCUAUCUAGAUAUUUAGAAAUUUUCACUUAGUACGAAAGGAAUAGUAAAUUAGGUUUAACUUACAGAUUAUGAACAUUUUGAAAUUA